AUUGAACGCUGGCGGCAGGCCUAACACAUGCAAGUCGAACGAGUGGCGUACGGGUGAGUAAUGUCUGUGAAACUUCCUGAUGGAGGGGGAUAACUACUGGAAACUGUAGCUAAUACCGCAUACCAUCAGCGGUGGCCAUAUGGGAUUAGCGAGUUGGUGGGGUAACGGCUCACCAAGGCGACGAUCAGUAGCUGGUCUGAGAGGAUGACCAGCCACAUUGGAACUGAGACACGGUCCAGACUCCUACGGGAGGCAGCAGUGGGGAAUCUUGCACAAUGGGCGAAAGCCUGAGACAGCCAUGCCGCGUGUGUGAAGAAGGCCUUCGGGUUGUAAAGUACUUUCAGUGGGGAGGCGUUACCCGAAGAAGAAGCAACGGCUAACUCCGUGCCAGCAGCCGCGGUAAUAC
rnacentral:rRNA from 1 species